AACGAACGCUGGCGGCAGGCUUAACACAUGCAAGUCGAGCGAAGACUUCGGUCUUAGCGGCGGACGGGUGAGUAACGCGUGGGUAACCUGCCCUAAAGUGGGGGAUAACAUUUGGAAACAGAUGCUAAUACCGCAUAAAUCUUGGAACCUCAUGGUUCCAAGCUGAAAGAUGGCGUAAGCUAUCGCUUUUGGAUGGACCCGCGGCGUAUUAGCUAGUUGGUGAGGUAAAGGCUCACCAAGGCGAUGAUACGUAGCCGACCUGAGAGGGUGAUCGGCCACAUUGGGACUGAGACACGGCCCAAACUCCUACGGGAGGCAGCAGUAGGGAAUCUUCCACAAUGGACGAAAGUCUGAUGGAGCAACGCCGCGUGAGUGAAGAAGGUUUUCGGAUCGUAAAACUCUGUUGUUGGAGAAGAACGUACGUGAGAGUAACUGUUCACGUAGUGACGGUAUCCAACCAGAAAGCCACGGCUAACUACGUGCCAGCCGCCGC
rnacentral:rRNA from 1 species